UGAAGAGAGAGCUUCUUUGGGGCCUGGGUUGCUUGCUGAGAAGGAGUGCUGUAUGGCCAGAGAGCCCUGUCACCAGUUGGUUAAUACUUGGGAUGUUCUGAAGUCUUCGUGCACUGUCCUUCCAGUGGCAUAUUGGACAACUGACAGCAGCAGCACAGUUGGCAUGUAUAUCUGAAGUUUCUGAAGCUUUUAUGACUAUGUCUGUUCGUAAAAGCCAUUCAGGUUAUGUCCUCAGAUAAACUGAGUCAGCAUAUAAAGCUGCACACUACGCAAUGCAUAUACAUAACGGAGGAAUGGGGAUCAAAUCCAGGGUAAUGGGUAAGUUGAUGGACUAAUCCCAGGAAAGAAUACAGCCAAGCAGCCUCUCCCUUCCCUUCCUCUGCACUGAUCACAGCAUGGCUCCACAUGUCCCACCUUAGGGAAUGAAGGAUUUCCAGCCCUGAUCUGAUGCUCAUUCAAGUCAACAGAAGGAUAUUCACUGAGUUCAGUACACUCUGGAGGGGAAUCCCAAAAAUUUGGAUUUGCUUCAGUUGCCCUGCUUGGGUCAGACUGCCCUCAUUUUUUCUGAAACACAGGCGGGCAUUUGGAGGAUGAAUAGUGAUGGAUAUUGAGAAUAAUCCAGCAAACACUGAGCUGGGGAAUUAAGGCUCUUGAGGUGGCUAUGAAAGCCAGCUGUCAACAGAAUUUGAAGAAUCUAAUUUGUUUCUCCAGUUUAUGCUGGCCAGGUGCCAAAAUGAGCAGUUCACUGUCUUAAAAUUUAAAUUAACAGAAUCUAUCCAUUUUGGAAAACAGCUUAUCGAGCUUGCAGUUCUGAGGCAGAACUCAGUGUCUUCCGAGCCUUUGUGAUCCAGGCAAAUACCGAUGGUAAAGGUAGCAAAUGACUUAAUUUAUAUAUUAGCACACUGCCUUUUCGAGAAUUUCUUUAUGAAUAAACAACAUGCUCUUUCCCUAAAUGGGUAUAUUUUCUAUGCUGGACACAAUCCUUGCUUUGUCUUUAGAAAUGUAUACCCAUUUCCAUAAACAUUCUGGUUCAGUGGCUGGCUUUAAAGGGUUAACAUUUUGGCUGUAUUUCAAAGGAUAAGUCUGGUGGUUUGCUUUUUCUGUGUAGGCUGGUAAGGGAGAAACAACCAACAGCUUGGCAGGUAGGGCUGGGGGGUUGCUUUGUCUUAUUUGUAUACACGUUUAACUUGCUUAGCAACAGAAGCAUUUGUUGCAUUCUUCUUUGUAACCAGUGCUUAUUUAACUUUAUGUCGUUUCAAUCAAUAACCAAGUUUAUAUGCAAACAAAACCAGAACUUGUUGGAGUGGAUAUAUGCAUGAAAAGUGACCUGAAAGGAAUUCUGCAAAACAAACAAAAAUGUAUACAUCUUCUUCAUGCUAUUUUUAAAGCAAGUCAUAAAAGUGCUUGUUUUCAAAGAGGGUUACUUUUAACUUAUUUCCAAUACUAGACGUUUCAGUAAUGCAAGAUCUUAUUUUCCUCAGUUUUUCUGAAAGCCCUCUGUGUGUCUCAGGUGUGUAUUGCACUUCAGACUUUAAUUGGGGUUAAUGUUUAAUGUACAAAGCUAUGCUUGUUUUAAAAGAGUAAAUGUGAAGUUUAUAUAUUUAUAAGAA